CCCGAGUUGUAAUUUGAAGAUGGUGUUCUGGUGCCGGCGCCCUGUCUACGUUCCUUGGAACAGGACAUCGCAGAGGGUGAGAAUCCCGUGUGGCGGGGCGGCCUGGCUCCGUGUAGAGCGCCAUCGACGAGUCGAGUUGUUUGGGAAUGCAGCUCUAAGUGGGUGGUAAAUUCCAUCUAAAGCUAAAUAUUGGCGAGAGACCGAUAGCGAACAAGUACAGUGAUGGAAAGAUGAAAAGAACUUUGAAAAGAGAGUGAAAAAGUACGUGAAAUUGUUGAAAGGGAAGGGUAUUGGAUCAGACUUGGUGCUGUGCGAAUAGCGGCUCUUCCUGGGCCGCCCCACUCGCACUCCACCGGGCCAGCAUCGGUUUGGGCGGCAAGACAAUGGCGGGGGAACGUGGCACUGCUCUCGGGCAGUGUGUUUAUAGCCCCCGCUGAUGUUGCCUGCCUAGACCGAGGACUGCGGCUUCUGCCUAGGAUGCUGGCGUAAUGAUCCAACACCGCCCGUCUUG
rnacentral:rRNA from 1 species